rnacentral:lncRNA from 1 species
CGAUCUUUGGCAGGAGGGUCAAGUACUUGGUAGUUUUAAGAAAUAGUGUGUAGGACUUUAAAAAGUCAAUCUGUUGGUAUGAAAUUUUUUAUUCUCAAAGUUUUCUGAAAUUCUUAGUUUAGUGAUUUCAUUGCUCAAAGUACUCAGCUUCCUGGUUGUCAUACUAUACUUUAAGGAGCUACACAGUAAUUUGUAAAUUAUGUUCUUUCCUUUUCUACUCAUCAGCUCAUCAACACCAUGCCCAUUCUGUGUAAAUUUACUUUAAGAUUGAAAUUUUGUUUUUUGUGUAAUGCCAUUAGAGAAAUCAAGAGAGUUUAGUGGUUUGCAUUUGAUUUUUAGGAUAUUUAGUUACUGAAUCAGAUUUUGCUGCUUAACAACCCCCUGCAAAACUUGAUGGCUUAAAACAACAACCAUUUAUUUAGCUCACCAUUCUGUGGUUUGGCAAUUGGGCCUGGGAUUAGCUGUGUGAUGGAUCUUAUCUCCUGCAGUUUCGCCUAUGUACUUGUAGUCAGCUGGCAGUUGAUUGCGUCACUCAUGUAUCUGAGGCUGACUGUUGGUUGGCUGGGGCUGCAGGAGUCCCUGAGCUCUGUGAGUCUUGUUUACCUAGCAGGUUAGCUUGGGCUUCUCCACAUGGUGAUUGUGCACUUCUUUAGAGCAGCAGGAGAGGUAAAGUGCACAUGUGGUAAGCACUUUUCACAUUUUUAUUUGCAUUAUGUUUGCUGUUAUCUCACUGGCCCAAGCAAGUUACAAGGCCUCUGGAAAUUCCAAGGGUAGAAAAAGACUCCCCACUUGUCAUAGGAGGAGCUCUAAAACUGUACUACAAGUGGCAUGAGUAUAAGGAUGGAAAGAAUCUGUGGCCCUUUUUGCAGUCUGCUAUAAAUGUUCUUGAUGGCAUCAUAUCGGUUCAGUGGAUAUUCUCUAUUUUGAACUUAUCUAGAAUUCAGGGGGCUGGGGUAUAGCUCAGUUGGUAAAGUGCUUGCCUUGCAUGCAAAAGCCCUGGGUUUCAUACCCAGCACCACCAAAAAAAAAAAGAAGGAAAAAAAAAAAGUAAAAAAUAACAACAAAAAAAUAUCUAGAAUUCACUCACUUCUUAACUGCAUCCUCUGUCACCUCCUAAACCACUAUCAUCUUUUGCCUCCUAACAGGGUUUCUGCUUCCAUCUUUGUCCUUAUGCUCCACAGAGCAGCCAUGGUAAACUUUUAAAAUUAGAACUCAAGUUGGGCAUUAAUGUAAUCCCAGCAACUCAGAAGGCUGGAGCAGGAGGAUUGUAAAUUGGAGGUCAGUCUCAGAAAUUUGUGAGGUCCUAAAGAGUUUAGCCAGACCCUGGCUCAAAUAAAAAAUGAAAAGGGCCGGGUAUGUAGCUAGCUCAGAUGUAAGGUGCUCCUGGGUUUAAUCCCCAGCCCCCCCCCCCCCAAAAAAAAAAAAAAAAUUAGGUGGCGGCUCCUCCUGAUAGCUGAGAUGAUGGCUGAGUCUCAAUCUUGCUGGGCUAGAGGCAGCUGAUCUCCCCUGUUCUGAUGCUCAGCUAGACUAGCCUAAUGAUCUUAAUGAAGGAUUCAUCCUAUCCCUCUUAAAAAUUUUUAAUAGAUUUUUAGUUUGAUGAUAUUUUCGUCUUUAGGAAUAUAAUCAUUGUAGACUUCUUGUUUAUGUAAAUGCAUAAAUAUAUAUAGUUAUGUGUUAUGAGGAGGGUGGAACAUGGAGCAGAUACUCUAAGCUGGACCUUAGAGGCUAAGGUAGUUGUUAAUAUCUCCUGGUAAUCUUGAAAUUCCUGUAAACCCCAAAGUGAUUUUUACUCAGGCCUAUGUAUCAAAUUGCUUAUGUCCCACUGUGCUAAAUUUCCUCUGAGCUUUACCCACCCCAGGUAUGAAAUUGUUGUCCUCUAAGUGUAAUUUGUCCCUCACUUGACUUUCCCAUAACUGAUUAUCAGGCUUUGAAUCUGGAUUCUGUUCAUCCACAGUUUACCAUAUGCAGGCAUGUGUUUGUAACAUAGCUAGACCACUUAUUUGGAAUAAUGAGAUGGAUAAGGAUGAAUAGGAGGAAAGGCACUUUGGCUUCAUAAAAUAAUCUGAAUCACAGAAUAUUUUAAAAUAAAGACAAUUAUGAUUUUUAAAAAUUAUAGUGCAUAUGAUAGACUAAGAUAUAACUGGGACAUGAGCC